UGCAGCAGGCGCGAAACCUUUACACUGCACGACAGUGCGAUAGGGGGACUCCGAGUGCGAGGGCAUAGAGCCCUCGCUUUUGUAGACCGUAAGGAGGUAUACGAAUAAGGGCUGGGCAAGACCGGUGCCAGCCGCCGCGGUAACACCGGCAGCCCAAGUGAUGGCCGAUAUUAUUGGGCCUAAAGCGUCCGUAGCUGGCCGCGCAAGUUCGUCGGGAAAUCCACUCGCUUAACGAGUGGGCGUCCGGCGGAAACUGUGCGGCUUGGGACCGGAAGAUCCAAGGGGUACGUCCGGGGUAGGAGUGAAAUCCCGUAAUCCUGGACGGACCACCGAUGGCGAAAGCACCUCGGAAGGACGGAUCCGACAGUGAGGGACGAAAGCUAGGGUCUCG
rnacentral:rRNA from 1 species